UGUAUCCUAGCAUGUAUCUCUGCUCACUCAGACCACACCCCCAUGAGUAGGAUGCAACACUCUAGUGAUGGAGAUGUAGAGUUUUAUAAGUAACGAGGGAGCAGACUAAGGUGAUUAGAACACAAUGGAAUGUCCAGUCUGUAAAUCUUUAAACCAUGAAGAUGGUUGGAUAGUUCAGGAAUUGGGCUUCUUUUUAUCAUGGGCAGUCCUUUCACUCAGAUGCCCACGAUGAUGCCCAUGAUUUGCUGUUGGUGAUGAGGCGGUCAGGGUGACGUUGCAGGGCUAUGGUCGGCUCUCUGCUCAACGUUUAGAUUUGCUCUGUAUGGUUUAUACCCGGAAUAAUCUAGAUAAUUGUAAAAUGUAUACACGGUUUUGUAUUGAAUGAUUUUAGUUUUUAAAGUUGUUGUGGGACGUACAUGGUAGUUUGGUUCUUCGUAUGGUUUUGAGUGAUAUAACUUGUACACACUGGGUGCAUAAUAAUGUAAAGGUACACUGAAUAGUAAUAACCAACAGCAACAAACAGAUCUCCUCAAGGUAAGUCUGUUGGCUGUGUUUUAAUGAAGACCAUCGCUGGACUUCAGGAUCUUCCUCCGUUCAGCUCAAGGUGAGGCGCUGGUUCUGUUUUUUUCUUUGGUUGGUUCCGGCCGGAAUGUUCGGAUUCCAGUCGGACGGUUUGUGCUUCCCGCCGUGGAAGGUUCCGAGUGCGGUCACUUGAUUUAGUCCCAAUGGUUAGCAUAGAACGUUGUAGUCUUGACAACCAUAAGAAACCACCUGGCAGAUUGUUGGACUGGAGUCCCCUGAGGGAAUCUGGCGGAACGUUCUGGAUUGUAUUUGCGUAACCUCGAGCCGUUUCCUAUUCUAUUUCAGUCGGUUUCGAUUGGGAAUUGUUGCCCCUAUCUUAAACAACUUAAGUCUGAUAUUAAAUACAUACUGACACGUACGUCGUACAAAAUGUUGAUAAAUUCCGAUGGUUGCGCCGUACUUUUAACCACGAUGACGUGACGGGACUCUCACUGCGUACAAAACGGCGUUCUACUUGCGGAAUUUUUUGACAUCAGGGAAGGCCGAAAAUCAUUUCAAGGUGGAAGAUAAUUUGACGUUUCUUCAACGGAACCCAGCACCUGAAUAUGGCUGAGUAUAUUUGAUUUAAUAUCGAUACUGCUUCGAGUUCUUUGUUACUUCAGCUUUUGUACGUUGUAAAUAUCUGCUGUCAUAAAUUGCCACAGAAGUUAAACCCUACCCAAUGGAAUGACGUUAAACAACGACUUUGGUUCAGAGUUACCAACUUCAUAAUAUCAAAGCUAAAAUAAUGGCAGUCAUUCCCACAUGUUACAAUAGAAGAUACUCUAGAACUGUACAAGGUUAAAAAGGUAACAUGUAGUUUGUCCCAAGGUGUCUGCCUCCUCACCCGGAGCAGGACCUCCACCUCCUCACCCAGAGCCAGACCUCCACCUCCUCACCCAGAGCCAGACCUCCACCUCCAGUCAGAAGUCCUCCAGAACAACUGAACGGCGAGGCUGAGAGGCUGGGGAACAGAGGCUUGUGGUGCCAGGGUGGACCGGAGACUGAGGCUGGAGACCAGGGGGCCACAGCACCGGACCAGAGGACCAGGAAUCCAUGUCUGGAGGAGCCGUGCUGAAGGAGCUGUUGGAGGAGUCGUGCUGAAGGCCCUGCCUUGUGAAGGACGUCUGUCAUGGGACUAGGACUCUGUCUGAGGAGAGCUGCUGGAGGAGCUGAGACGCUGGAGGACGACUAGGAAUCGACCGACAAGGAUUCCUCAACGUGUUCCUGGAGAGGAGGCGAGCUGGUAGGGGAGCCGUGAAUCUGGAGGAUGAACAUCACUCUACAAACAAGGAUUACCACAACUCUGGCUGUGGAGAGCUGAUGGAGGAGCCAAGACUCUGGAGGACGACAUCGCUCCACCAACCAGGAUCCUCAUAAGUUUGCCUAAAAUAAACAGUAGACUUGUUGUAAUGCAGGAUUAGUUUGUCCAGUACAAGUUACGGCAUACUAUUGUGGUUGUUUACCAGACAAACUACAGCUGCUACUUUGUUACGCGCCAUUAGAGCCCAACUACUCCUGUGUUUGUGACAUUACAUUAGAGCCCAACUUCUGCUGUGUUUGUGACAUUACAUUAGAGCCCAACUUCUGCUGUGUUUGUUACAUUACAUUAGAGCCCAACUACUACUGUUUGUUACCUUACAUUAGAGACAAAUGAAGUUUGUAACCAGACCAGGAAUCUGGAGGACUGAUGGAGAAGCCGUACAUCUGGAAGGAAAAUCCUGAGGAUCACCAGCACUCUACCACCAAGGAUUCCUCAUAAGUUUGCAUUAUCUGGAAAUGG